ACUUAAAUAGCUUAUGGUUAGAGCAUAGCAUUGAAGAUGCUAAGGAAAUUAUUAAUAAAUUUUUAAGUG
rnacentral:tRNA from 1 species